rnacentral:tRNA from 1 species
GCGCCAGUAGCUCAGCUGGAUAGAGCAACGGCCUUCUAAGCCGUGGGCCGGGGGUUCGAGUCCUCCCUGGCGUGCCA